UACGUAGGGUGCAAGCGUUGUCCGGAAUUAUUGGGCGUAAAGAGCUCGUAGGCGGUCUGUUGCGUCGGCUGUGAAAACCCGGGGCUCAACUUCGGGCCUGCAGCCGAUACGGGCAGACUAGAGUUCGGCAGGGGAGACUGGAAUUCCUGGUGUAGCGGUGAAAUGCGCAGAUAUCAGGAGGAACACCGGUGGCGAAGGCGGGUCUCUGGGCCGAUACUGACGCUGAGGAGCGAAAGCGUGGGGAGCGAACAGG
rnacentral:rRNA from 1 species